rnacentral:tRNA from 1 species
GCCUGGGUGGCUCAGUCGGUUGAGCGUCCGACUUCAGCUCAGGUCAUGAUCUCACAGUGGGUGAGUUCAAGCCCCACAUCGGGCU